rnacentral:rRNA from 1 species
AGUGAACGCUGGCGGUAGGCCUAACACAUGCAAGUCGAACGGCAGCACAGUAAGAGCUUGCUCUUACGGGUGGCGAGUGGCGGACGGGUGCGGAAUACAUCGGAAUCUACUUUUUCGUGGGGGAUAACGUAGGGAAACUUACGCUAAUACCUCAUACGACCUACGGGUGAAAGCAGGGGAUCUUCCGACCUCGCGCGAGCGAUUGAGCCGAUGUCGGAUUAGCUAGUUGGCGGGGCAAAGGCCCACCAAGGCGACGAUCCGUAGCUGGUCUGAGAGGAUGAUCAGCCCCAUUGGAACUGGGAAACCGUCCAGACUCCUACGGGAGGCAGCAGUGGGGAAUAUUGGCCAAUGGGCGCAAGCCUGAUCCAGCCCUACCGCGUGGGUGAAGAAGGCCUUCGGGUUGUAAAGCCCUUUUGUUGGGAAAGAAAAGCAGCAGGUUAAUACCCCGCUGUUCUGACGGUACCCAAAGAAUAAGCACCGGCUAACUUCGUG